GGAGAGCCAUAGCUCAGUGGAGGAACAUCUGCCUUGUGAGCAGAAGGUCUCAGGUUCAAUCCCCAGAAUCUCCA